AUUGAACGCUGGCGGCAGGCCUAACACAUGCAAGUCGAGCGGAUGAAGGGAGCUUGCUCCUGGAUGCAGCGGCGGACGGGUGAGUAAUGCAUAGGAAGAUGCCUGGUCGUGGGGGAUAACGUCCGGAAACGGGCGCGAAUACCGCAUACGUCCUGAGGGAGAAAGGGGGGGAUCUUCGGACCUCACGGUAUCAGAUGAGCCUAGGUCGGAUUAGCGAGUUGGUGGGGUAAAGGCCUACCAAGGCGACGAUCCGUAACUGGUCUGAGAGGAUGAUCAGUCACACUGGAACUGAGACACGGUCCAGACUCCUACGGGAGGCAGCAGUGGGGAAUAUUGGACAAUGGGCGAAAGCCUGAUCCAGCCAUGCCGCGUGUGUGAAGAAGGUCUUCGGAUUGUAAAGCUCUUUAAGUUGGGAGGAAGGGCAGUAAGUUAAUCCCUUGCUGUUUUGACGUUACCAACAGAAUAAGCCCCGGCUAACUUCGUG
rnacentral:rRNA from 1 species